AGAAAGAAAAAAGUCUGCCUGAGACUUGACUAGAAAUCCUUCCUAACUGACCUCAUUUAUUUAAAAAAAAAUUCUUUGAUUAUGGAAGAAGUACUUUUUUUUUUUAAGUCUUUUUUUUUUUUAAGGUAAAAUGCCCCUCAAAAAUUAAAGCUAUUUAGUUAUUGUCUGAUUACAAACUGGCCACUGACUAAAAUGGGAGGCUAGUGAGGGAGGCUGUGUUCAUUCAGAAGGCACUUCUGAGCUCUUAGACCUGCCACCCUGUGCUGGGCCAUGUGUAGUGCAGUGUGCAUGGAUGCGCUUGACCCAAGAGUAUAUCCAUGAACUUUGAAAGGCCGUUCCAUCCCUGGCAAUGCUCUACAAUGUUCCUGUUCAGGAGAUCUGGCUCAGCAGAUCACUCACAUUUUCUAUACCUUAUCAGUAUUUCUGAGUUUGAUUAACUCUGCUUUUUCCUAAGUAAUUUUCCCAAGGAAGAAUGGAUUUUCCCUGCAGUGAUUAUAGACUAGUCUCCCCUGUUCAAAGGCUGCAUUUAGCUCAAAUCCCAAGAAAGGAGUCAAGUCUGGAUCGCCCUGACAAAGCCUGUCCUUCACUUGAGUGACCUCCUAGUGCAUCCCAAGCUGACAGUGGCAGUGACUGGGCUUUCUUUCUAGCUUGUCAUUGAAGCAGAGAGCCAGUAGGGAUAGCUAGCUAGCCCAUCAUUGGGUUAAAUUUGGACCAGCAUCAACCCCUACCUUUAAAUGAAGACCCACAGCUCUGGUUCCCACUGUAGUGCUCCAGGGCCCAAAUAAUUGUGAAAGUUAUGUGGUUUGUGAAGGGGACAUCCAAAUGACAGGUUUUAUGAUGUUUGUUUCUUCUGUUUUCUUCAGUUAAGAAAUACCUGUAUCUCCUGAAUACACCCACACUAUAUAAAGUACUUAGUAGGGGGUACCCCGUAGUGUGAUUUAAGUCAUUGGUGAGAUUUUGGUUGGAGUAGCUGUGGUUUUAAUUAACAGCCUUGGCGGUUUCUUUCACUCAAACUCCAUAGGGUCCUAACCCUUCCUUAGCCAGCCCUUUCCUCACCAGCCGUACAGUCCUCUUUAGACUGAGCCCUUAGGAUGGAUGGAGCUGGAGUUCUUAGAACGCAGCAGGAUUUGAGGAUGAGGCUGCUGCACAGAAUUUUUUUUUUUUUUGGUGGGGGGUGGGCAGGGGCAGAGAUGACAGAGAUGCACAUUUCCCAGAUUGUUAUCCAUGGUAGCAUUCUGAGGAUUGUUCUGUGGAAGAGACUUGGAGGUACACAGAGGUUACCAAUUUUUAGUCAUACAGGAUGGAGGAAAAAGUGCCAUGUCCCCAUGAGUAGACAGCUUUGUGUAUUGGCAGGAUUUUUUCUGAGGGGGAAAAUGCACUCUUGUGUUUCCUAAGUUUGUUGCCAGGAGUGUGGGAACUUACACCACACGAGAGCUGACCCUAGACUCUGAGGUCCCUCACUCCCUCACUCUUCGGAGUCUUGGGUCUAGGAGGAGUUAGACAAGGCCAUGCUAAGGCCAGACUUGCUCAUGCCCUUCCCAGUGCUGCGUUUGAGGCACAGACAGUUCAGCCUUCGGAUGUCAAGCUGGGCCGGGAGCAGCUUCAACGUGGUUCCAGAUACCUGCAGCUGCAGCCAGGGUCUCUCUAGCUGCUACCUGCCCUCCAAACCGAGCCUCAGUGGAGCCCAGCAGAUCCCAGUUUGCUCAGGCAUAACCACCAGCAAAGCAAGCAGACAGACUAUGCAAGACGGGAAAUAACUAGCUGAAAUGCCAACUAUGUUUGUUUUUUUUUCUACCUGAUAACACUGUUUACUUAUAACUGUAUAAAUAUAGUUGUCCUAAGAGCCAGGAGGGAAACCUUUCCACCUAGAAAUAGAAUGGUUGUCUGUUGGCUUUAGGCCACCUGUUACAGCUCCUUGUGGUCUGAUGAUUGUGGUUUAUUCAACCUGUUUACAUUAGAAUUGGAGAAGGGGCCCUGGAUCUUGGUGGGCUGCCACUGCUGUCUGUAUCCCCUUGACUCCUAAAGAGCCUUUUGAUAGAGGGACUUGGGACAAGGUAUGCCCUGUCAGGGAUGCUUUUACCACAAAGGAAUGGUAUGGAAUCAAGUGGGAUGAUUGAUGGAUGAUUAACACAGUACCAAAGUGCAUUCUUCAAUGUGUAUGUGCCUGUUCCAGGCAAGGCCCAAGUUGAAAAUGCAGUAAAGCAGACUCAUGAAAGC
rnacentral:lncRNA from 1 species